rnacentral:rRNA from 1 species
AGAGUUUGAUCCUGGCUCAGGAUGAACGCUAGCGGCAGGCUUAAUACAUGCAAGUCGUGGGGCAGCAUGAGUAGCAAUACUUGAUGGCGACCGGCAAACGGGUGCGGAACACGUACGCAACCUUCCUUCAGGCGGGGAAUAGCCCAGAGAAAUUUGGAUUAAUACCCCAUAAAAUUUUGAGAUGGCAUCAUCUUAUUAUUAAAGCUUCGGCACCUGAUGAUGGGCGUGCGGCUGAUUAGGUAGUUGGCGGGGUAACGGCCCACCAAGCCUACGAUCAGUAGCUGAUGUGAGAGCAUGAUCAGCCACACGGGCACUGAGACACGGGCCCGACUCCUACGGGAGGCAGCAGUAAGGAAUAUUGGUCAAUGGACGAAAGUCUGAACCAGCCAUGCCGCGUGGAGGAUGAAGGUCCUCUGGAUUGUAAACUUCUUUUAUCUGGGACGAAAAAAGGGAAUUCUUUCUCACUUGACGGUACCAGAUGAAUAAGCACCGGCUAACUCCGUGCCAGCAGCCGCGGUAAUACGGAGGGUGCAAGCGUUAUCCGGAUUCACUGGGUUUAAAGGGUGCGUAGGCGGACUUUUAAGUCAGUGGUGAAAUCCUGUAGCUUAACUGCAGAACUGCCAUUGAUACUAUUAGUCUUGAAUGUCGUGGAGGUUAGCGGAAUAUGUCAUGUAGCGGUGAAAUGCUUAGAUAUGACAUAGAACACCUAUUGCGAAGGCAGCUAACUACGCGAAUAUUGACGCUGAGGCACGAAAGCGUGGGGAUCAAACAGGAUUAGAUACCCCAGUAGUCC